CAGUAGCCACGGGAACACGGAGGGGGCUAGCGUUGUUCGGAAUUACUGGGCGUAAAGCGCACGUAGGCGGCUUGGUAAGUUAGAGGUGAAAGCCUGGAGCUCAACUCCAGAAUUGCCUUUAAGACUGCCGAGCUAGCAGGUGAGAGAGGUAAGUGGAAUUCCGAGUGUGGAGGUGAAAUUCGUAGAUAUUCGGAAGAACACCAGUGGCGAAGGCGGCUUACUGGCUCAUACUGGACGCUGAGGUGCGAAAGCGUGGGGAGCAAACAGGAUUAGAUACCCGUGUAGUCCCUGUCUCUUAUAC
rnacentral:rRNA from 1 species